rnacentral:rRNA from 1 species
UACGAAGGGGGCUAGCGUUGUUCGGAAUUACUGGGCGUAAAGCGCGCGCAGGCGGUCUUCCAAGUCAGGGGUGAAAUCCUGGAGCUCAACUCCAGAACUGCCUUUGAUACUGGCGAUCUCGAGUCCGGGAGAGGUGAGUGGAACUGCGAGUGUAGAGGUGAAAUUCGUAGAUAUUCGCAAGAACACCAGUGGCGAAGGCGGCUCACUGGCCCGGUACUGACGCUGAGGUGCGAAAGCGUGGGGAGCAAACAGG